UACGUAGGGACCGAGCGUUGUCCGGAUUCAUUGGGCGUAAAGAGCUCGUAGGCGGCUGCUCAAGUCGAAUGUGAAAACUCGAGGCUCAACCUCGAGCCUGCAUUCGAUACUGGGCGGCUAGAGUCUGGUAGGGGGAUCUGGAAUUCCUGGUGUAGAGGUGAAAUUCGUAGAUAUUGGGAAGAACACCAGUGGCGAAGGCGGCUAACUGGUCCAGAUCUGACGCUGAGGUGCGAAAGCGUGGGGAGCAAACAGG
rnacentral:rRNA from 1 species